rnacentral:rRNA from 1 species
CAGUCGCCACGGUAAUACGUAGGGGGCAAGCGUUAUCCGGAAUUACUGGGUGUAAAGGGAGCGUAGACGGCUAAACAAGUCUGAAGUGAAAUGCCGGGGCUCAACCCCGGAGCUGCUUUGGGAACUGUAGAACUGGAGUGUCGGAGGGGUAAGCGGAAUUCCCAGUGCAGCGGUGAAAUGCGUAGAUAUUGGGAGGGACACCGGCGGCGAAGGCGACUUACUGGACGACAACUGACGUUGAGGCUCGAAGGCGUGGGUAGCAAACAGGAUUAGAUACCCCGGUAGUCCCUGUCUCUUAUAC